ACUGAUCGAAGAUAAGUUGGUGCUUCGAUUUGAAUGAAAUUUUGUGACUCAUAAGUACCACUUCAAAGACUGCGAAAGCAGACGUUUUAGAUUUAAUUAUUCGAUUGGCAAAUUAAAAAUAUUUAGUCAGGGUGCUUGACUUUUUGCCAAAAGCACUUUACCUAUCAUUUAAAUUUUAUUUUUGUAUCAACUUAUGUUCUGUUCUGCACUUGAGAAAUUUUGAUAGCAAACUAUCUCGAUCGACGAAUCUGUUCUUCCCCCAAAGGUUUCUAAUAUCAGUCACUAAUUUGAUCUGUUUGUUAAUUACCAAAACCAAUCAGAAUUUUAUUUUGACGGGCCUGUUAUCUCUGAGAGGAGUGCUAAAAUUAAACAGCCUUAGAAAAUAGAAAAGAUACGCCGCUUCACGUGACCAAUCGAGUCUGUUAUUCAGAUCGACCUGACAUCUAAAAACCUGAUGGCUUUCUAGAAAAACACUAUAACAGGUGUUAGGAGUGCGGGCAGGUGGUUAGAUAUGACACUUGGGACAACAGACGUCAAUGGGGAAUCAAAAAAAAAACUUCAAAUAACAAUUCUGAGCAACAAUAUUUUGACUACGAAGACACACACUCGUAAAAGUCUCAAAACGUUUUUUCGCAAUCGGCUUUUGUAUUAAAUGUUGAAAUGUAUUUAUUCAUGUUUAAUAUUUUUGCAUCGUCUGAAAUGAUUAAUAUUUAAGUAAAUAAGCUUAUUAAGAUAAAACCGUUCUAGCAUCAUUUAUUAUUUAAGAAGAAUUGGGGAGUCAUUAGGUUUUUAUGAUUACGAAGAAACUAAACGAGAGAAGCAGUCGGGACAUUAAAUGGAACGAUUAAUAGAAAUCUCUUUUGAAACGAAUAAUAUUUUCAAGCCAAUAUUUUGAAGAUUGAUUUAAAACUCGAGUUUUAUAUUUUAAUUUCCAUGUCUGGGAUGAAUAAUUUUAGGUAAAUAAAAGAUCUAUUGUGUAAGCGUUUUAUCAUGAAUUUCCAUUCACGUUUUUUGAGGCACUUUCGUUGCACAAGACCCUGAUAAGGGAGCUUGCCUUAUCUGUUCCGGAGACUUUAUUGUUGAUCUUCUCCGUGUUAAAGUUUCUAGGCAGCUGCAGUCAGCACAUCUGUUAAUUGUUUUAUUUACAUUCAUCAACAAAUUGAGUUCCCUUGUUUGGCGGCGGAGUGAUUCUCGCACUUCUGGCCGAGAGCCAAACAAGCAAGUACUUGCGGCGUUCGCCGGGCAUGGGCAUUGUCAUGGGCAGUUCCUGACCGCGAUCCCGAAACGCCUACAGAACCCUCCCAAGGACCCGGCCGAGGCCAACUUUUAGUGGCAGCUGACUGGCUGUAUUAUUUGUUUGACGAGUGGAGUGCAGAACGCAGCAUUGCACUUGAGUGAUUGUGAUAUUGUGACACGCGUGCAUGCUGUGCAGCAAAUUAAGUGCCUCGUCUCGGCCACAAAAAACAACAAUGAGCAUAACAUAGCUCAAGGGAACACACAUCUGACAAGCAAUUAAAUUGCGUUGCCAGGAAAGGGAUAAAUUGGUAAAUGCUGCAUCAGGGUUUGGCUCUGCAGACUGCAGACGGGAGGCGGCAGACUGCAGAUUUAAUUGCGGCUCGGGCAGCAUCUGGAUCUGGUCCGUUCGGGUGGUGUUUACUCAUUUUGCCACUCACCAUACUCUUGCCACACUCUGACAGUUUCAAUUUUCCAUUUCUGGCACAAUAAAAGUGUACUUUUCCAUUCAUUAUUCAUUAUUUUAAUGACUCCCACAAUGAUAGUGGGACAGACGCCAAAAAAAGGCUGCGAAACAAUGCGAUAAACAUUAAAAAUGAUACAAUUUAAAGUUUUUCUGCUUUUCUGUUUGUGAGUUGCGCAAAUUUUAAAAUUGAAAAUGUUGAUUAUUUGCUUAUUUAAAGAUUACACCUUAAUCUGUUUGUUCAAUUUGGUUUUCCCAAUCAUAAACAUGUGCACAAUUAUAGUCUGUUUUUUGUUUUAUUGCCCGAAUGAUAUAAAAACUUUUUUGUUUAACAAUUUGUCAUGUGAUUCUUGUCUACGAAAUUUUUAAUACUUUUUUUUGGUGAAUCCCCAACCCAUUUCUCUGACUCAACCUCUCGGCCAGCUGUCUUAAUAUUUGUUUUAUCUACCGACCGUGGGAUAUUUUGUCUCCUGCGACUGCCGAGCACGUGAUCGCGAAUAGGCGUUGGAAAAAGUUGGUGCAUUGCACCACACUUUGAACAUUGAACACGGAUUAUACAAAUUAUUUAGCAUUUACUCGGGAUUACCAGCGUAUUAAAAGUGUAAUUAAUUUGUGUCUGUGUCAAUGCACAGUCUGCUGUUAAAUAAUCAACCAAUAUCGACUGCGAAAACCGCACAGAACAUACACGGCCGAUGCGAAAAUCUCUCAAAGGAUAAAAGGACAAAGGCCAAAAGGAAUUUGCAGCAAUGCAGCAGCACAAAAUGAGUAUCAAAUAUUAUGCAUAAAUAAUUAAAUGCAUACAUAUACGAGAAACACACAAUGCCUGGCCAGGAAUAAGGCGUGGUCCUUGACUGUGCAGGGUACAGUGAACACGCCUACUGCCGGCUCCUGCAGAGAUUUAUGAUCCGGCGGCCGCUUCUUGGGCCAAAAGGGGCAACGGACGGAGAUUGACAUAAAUAAAAUGGCUUGCUGGUUGGUUAGCCGGUUGUCGGUUGUUGGUUGUUGGUUGUUGGCUGUUGGCUGUUGGUUGGUCGCUUGUGGCCCGGUUUGGUCGGUUGGCUGGUCAAGGAGCAUGAAAACAAUUUCAGCCUGUUUCAGGACCGCCGCCGGACUGCUGGUCUGCCUGCUGCACUUACAACAUCGGAGACAAAUGCGAACACUUUCGAAAGAUGAAAGUUCAAUUCACUUCAAAGGCUUCUAGAUAUUUUCCAUUGCAUUCCAAAUUUUAAAGAAGCAGUUUCUAUACUUUCUUUACCAUUUCAGAGUAUGUAUUAUCUUCUUCAAGUAUUUGUAAGUGUCAUAAUAGUUUAAACUCUCUGAAAUACAGUACGCUUGCCUAGAUACCUAGUAA